UGUUAUAAAGAAGGGAUUUCAGGGGUAUAUGGAUUUUGUGACACCAAUGUUCUAAGUCCUUUGACACCAACGACAACAGAAGAAGGAGAUCCACAAUCUGAUUAUUUGGCUUGUAUCUUUGCAUCUAAUGAUGGCAAACAUAUCAAUCAACUCUUUUUUGCACCAUAUAAUGAGAAUAAACAUUGGAUGUUAGCUGUUAUUAGUCCUUGGAACGGAUUGGUGUAUUGGUUAGAUCCAGCAGGAGUAGAAAAUGAAGUUCGACCAUUUGCUAAAAAGAUCAUCAAUGAGGGAAUUAUCAAAUUUAGCACGUACCAUCGAAAAGAUAUCAAGAAGAUCAAAAAGAA